rnacentral:rRNA from 1 species
UCUGGUUGAUCUCGCCAGAUAUAUAUGCUACUUUAAAAGAUUAAGCCAUGCAAGUGUAAGUAUGAGAAUCUCGUAUAUUCUAGACUGCGAACAGCUUAUUAUAAAAGUUAUAAUUUAUUUGAACGUGGAGGAUUAAAACAUCCUCAAAUUAUGUGGAUAACUGUGGGAAAGCUAGAGAUAAUACAUGCAAAAGGACGAGACCCUAGCAAUAGGGAAUCGUUGCAUUAACUGGCAUUAUUAAAGGGGUGCAAAUUCCUUUGAUGAGACACAGUUCACUAUUAGCAGAGCGAGCAAUCGCCGCUUCAUUCAAAUCUCUUAUCUAUCAACUUUCGUUGUUCAUAUAGAGGAUGAACAAGGUUAUAACGGGUGACAGAGAAUUAGGGUUUGAUUCUGGAGAGGGAGCCUUAGAAACAGCUACCACUUCCAAGGAAGGCAGCAGGCGCGAAAAUUACCCAAUAAAAAUACUUUGAGGUAGUGACAAAAAAUAACGACGACGUAAAAACUGGUAGAAAUAUCAGUUUGUCGAUUGUAAUGAGUAUUUUAAGAAAAUUAAUUAGAAUCAACUGGAGGGCAAGUCUGGUGCCAGCAGCCGCGGUAAUUCCAGCUCCAGUAGCGUAUAUUUAAGUUGUUGUAUUUAAAAAGCUCGUAGUUGAAAUAUGUAAGAGAGCUUUAUUGGGGGGAUGGCAUAAGUUGUCUUCCUGGUAAUCUCUUACAUACGCACGUAUAUUAGACUCUUACGAAAUUGAAAGAUUUUGUAGGAUCAUUUAAUAUACAUUUUACCAUAAGUAACUUAGAGUGUUUAAAGCAAGACGUUUGUCUAUUGAAUAAUAGAGUAUGGGAUAAUAAAAGAUGAGAGAGGGAAGAUGCAUUCUCUGGUAGCAAUACCAGGUCUUUCUUUUCUAAUGAUUAAUAGGGACAGUUUGGGCAAUUGAUAUUUCUACACGAGCGGUGAAAUGCGUAGACUGUAGAAAGAUCGACUAAUGCGAAAGCAUUUUGCAGAGAUGUUUUCGUUAAUCAAGAACGAAAGUUAAGGGAUCGAAGAUGAUCAGAUACCGUCGUAGUCUUAACUAUAAACAAUGUCGACAAAAGAUGGGAUUGAAAGUAUGAAUAUACUUUCUUUUCAAAAAGGUACUAAAACUUCCACACAGUAGCAAUAUUGUGUGGAUAAAUUUGUCUCUUCCCGAAUUUCGUAAGAAAUUAAGAGUGAUCGGACUUUGGGGGGAGUAUGGUCGCAAGGCUGAAACUUAAAGGAAUUGACGGAAGGGCACCACCAGGUGUGGAACUUGCGGUUUAAUUUGACCCAACACGGGGAAACUCACCAGGUCAGGACAUGAUAAGGAUUGACAGAUUAAAAGAUCUUUCAUGAUUUUAUGGGUGGUGGUGCAUGGCCGAUCUUAGUUCC